rnacentral:rRNA from 1 species
AAUUGUUCACAAUGGGCGCAAGCCUGAUGACGCAACGCCGCGUGGAGGAUGAAGGUCUUCGGAUUGUAAACUCCUGUUGCUCGGGAAGAAUGGCUCCGACCUAACACGUCGGAGUGUGACGGUACCGGGUGAGGAAGCCCCGGCUAACUCUGUGCCAGCAGCCGCGGUAAUACAGAGGGGGCAAGCGUUGUUCGGAAUUACUGGGCGUAAAGGGCGCGUAGGCGGCCUGCUAAGUCGAACGUGAAAUCCCCGGGCUCAACCCGGGAACUGCGUCCGAUACUGGCAGGCUCGAAUUCGGGAGAGGGAUGUGGAAUUCCAGGUGUAGCGGUGAAAUGCGUAGAUAUCUGGAGGAACACCGGUGGCGAAGGCGGCAUCCUGGACCGAUAUUGACGCUGAUGCGCGAAAGCCAGGGGAGCAAACGGGAUUAGAUACCCCGGUAGUCCUGGCCCUAAACGAUGAAUGCUUGGUGUGGCGGGUAUCGAUCCCUGCCGUGCCGAAGCUAACGCAUUAAGCAUUCCGCCUGGGGAGUACGGUCGCAAGGCUGAGACUCAAAGGAAUUGACGGGGGCCCGCACAAGCGGUGGAGCAUGUGGUUUAAUUCGACGCAACGCGAAGAACCUUACCCAGGCUUGAACUGCAGAUGACAUCCUAUGAAAGUAGGCUCCCGCAAGGGCAUCUGUAGAGGUGCUGCAUGGCUGUCGUCAGCUCGUGUCGUGAGAUGUUGGGUUAAGUCCCGCAACGAGCGCAACCCUUGUCUUCUGUUGCCAUCGGGUCAAGCCGGGCACUCUGAAGAGACUGCCGGUGACAAACCGGAGGAAGGUGGGGAUGACGUCAAGUCAGCAUGGCCUUUAUGUCUGGGGCUACACACGUGCUACAAUGGCAGAUACAAACCGUCGCGAGACCGCAAGGUGGAGCUAAUCGGAUAAAGUCUGUCUCAGUUCGGAUUGCAGGCUGCAACUCGCCUGCAUGAAGUUGGAAU